GGUUUGACGGUACCUAUAAAGGAAGCACCGGCUAACUCCGUGCCAGCAGCCGCGGUAAUACGGGGGGUGCAAGCGUUGUUCGGAAUUAUUGGGCGUAAAGCGCGUGUAGGCGGUCUGAUUAGUCUGAUGUGAAAGCCCUGGGCUCAACCCAGGAAGUGCAUUGGAUACUGUCAGACUUGAAUACGGGAGAGGGUAGUGGAAUUCUUAGUGUAGGAGUGAAAUCCGUAGAUAUUAGGAGGAACACCGGUGGCGAAGGCGGCUACCUGGACCGAUAUUGUCGCUGAGACGCGAAAGCGUGGUAGCAAACAGGAUUAGAUACCCUGGUAGUCCACGCCGUAAACGAUGAGAACUAGGUGUCGCGGGUA
rnacentral:rRNA from 1 species